GACAACUUGACACUUUCUUGUCAAACUGGGUGACUGGGAGGCAGUUUUAUGUUCAGCUGCAUUAGUGACUGAAAACUGUGAAGAUGCAGUUAUGCACAUUUCUUCUGCUGAGUUUGGCUUUUUGUCCAGCAUCAUCUAUGCCCCCACCAGAUACAUCUGACAUUAAUGAGGAUCGGAAGGACAGUCCAGAUAUAAACAAAGGUUUAAAUCUCCGAGAAGGAGACAUCAUGGUGGUGAGUUCUGUUCCAAGACAUUCUAUAAUUAAAGUAUUGGAU